rnacentral:piRNA from 1 species
UGGAAUCAUAGAUGUUGCCCUGGA